rnacentral:lncRNA from 1 species
GUAACAAACCGGACAGUAACAGUGUUAGAUUUAAGAGUAUUUUGUGACAAAUAAGAAAUACCCAAAUCUUUAUUCAUUUCCUGAGCUGCCUUAACAGCAUCGCAAACCAGGUGGCUUAGAACAGUAGGAACUUGCUGCUGCACGUUUCUGGAGGCAGAAGUCAGAAAUGGGGGUGCGGGCCUGGGGCAUUCUGCGGGGGCCCUGGGUUAGGACCCUUCUCUGUCUCUUCCCGGCUUCUGGGGUCCGCAGCAGUGCCCGGCGCUCCCCGGCUUGUAGCUGCAUUCCUCCGGCCCCUGCUGUCAUCCUCGUCCUGGGGCGCGCUCCCUGCAUACCUCAGGUCUAGCUACUGCGACUUAGGAAGGCUGUUCGAGAAAAUGGCUUGGUUAUGACUUCCAUGAGACGACGACAAAGCCAAACUUUACGGCCUGCCCAAUCCUUGAGAACGAGUAACUGGAAGAUUUCGUCAUCGAAGUAAACUGGGGAGUUUUAACUUGUGAGACAGAGGUUGUGGCUCUAAAUGAAAUCUAGGAUUCACUAAAACAACUAUGGAGUAUCCGGAUAUUAUUACUUAUUAUUGAAAGAAGUCCGUGAAUAUAAGUAAGUAAAGGUGAUCGCACCUUCCUGUAAUCUUGCCAUGAUUUCCUUCAGAAGAGCUGUCCUUCUCAGAAGAUUAAUUACUUAAUUAUUGCAAGUGAGAAUUCGUGAAUGUCCGUUGUCUUACAGUGACGGUUAUGAAUUUUUUUAAAGAUUUGAUUUGUCAGCGCAGCACGCACCAAGCAGGAAGAGCUGCAGGUCGAGAGAGCAGACUGUCCGCGGAGCAAGGAGCCCGGUGCAGGGUGGGACCCCGGGACCCCAGGAUCGUGACCUGAGCCGAAGGCAGCUGCUAACCCACUGAGCCCCCCAGGCGCCCCUGCUUAUGAAUUUUCUUUGGCCCUAGUUGAACUGAGGAAUUUUAAUUAAAUCAAUUUGGAGAAAGGGAGUAUGAUUUCUCUACACUGAGCUGCGAAUGUGAAGGUGCACGCCCCCAGGGGUGCUCCGUGUACCCAGCACCCAUUUCUCCAAAGUUCUCAAGGGUGUCAGUGUUGUGGUCUGUUGGGUGGCUACAGAGCAGUGCAACAAGGAGUCUCCGUGGCACUGGAGACGGGGGUCUGUGUCCCCGUACGGAUGGGGCUCCCGACUGUACCGAGGAAAGCGUGUGGGACGAGGACGUGAGAACGUGGCCCCUGCACCUACCUUAGCCUCCGGAUGACACCGUCCACUAACUUUGACCUAAGUCCCGGUCUCUCAGACCCUGCGAUACUAGCAUUGGAGGCCGGCGGUUGUCGUUGGGGGGCUGUCCUUUGCGUUGUAGGAUGUUGGGCAGCGUCUUCGGGCUCUGCCCUCUAAGGACCUCUGCAGUCCCCGUCGCGACAGCCAGUCUCCAGGCAUUGGCACGUGUCCCCUGGGGGGCCAAGUCUGCCCGAGUGCGAACCACCGGCCCAGAGGAAUGUCCAUAGACAACUUCUCGGCUCCAGUGACAGCCUCAGUCGUGCCUCUGUGUUGUGUAAACAGUCGCAGACUUGGCUCGGAUGCGUCAGAUAAAAAGAGGAGACAAAAAUAUGCUUUUUCUCCAUUCUCCACUUUCGGAGAACUCGGAGCCCGCGCUCCCGGGAGCCCCUGGUGUCUAGGGCCCACCCGCUGCCGAGGACUUGGGAAAGAGACGGGAAUAUGGAGGAUCUACCAACCUUCUCGAACGUAUGCUGUGGCUAAGAAAAGGUGUGCGAAAUAAGCAAACGUGCUAAUUGCCCCCGAUUUUCACCACACUGCCCUGUAGCAGUGUUUCUCAGCCCUCGUAGUUGAGACACUGAAGCUCCCUGGGAAAGCUGCGGUUGGAGCAGACGGCCCAGCGGGCUGGAGGGCGCGCCUUUGAAGCAUCUGAGACUGGCCCGCCGCGACGCUCACGGGUUUAUUAAAAAUGAUCAAAAGCAGCAGAACGGCGGGGAGUCCCGCCUGAAAGGCUGUCCCCCCGCAGGGCCUCCUGCGCCACGGCGGCCCCACGCCAACAAGAGCGCCGUCCCUCCCUGUGAGGCUCCUCUCCCCACCGUGGCCUCCGGCGAGUCCCGCGUGGGCCGCGGACAGAUGAGCAGCUGCACGGCCAUCCAGGCCCCGUGGCAACACCGCAAAGGGCGUGCUUCGUGUGACUUGUACACACCGGAGCAGGCUUCCAAGGCUGGCCGUGUCUCCAGAGCGGCUCCCGCAGGAGCGGGAGUCAGAGCUUGGGAAGCUGAGGAAUGCUCUCGCGGGGAGCCUGUCCACCUUGCGGGACAGCGUCAGCGGCGCCCAGCUCCCUUCUCACUGUGGGGCAAGGCGCGGGGGCUCCGCCCGCAGCCCAGGGCCUGAUCCCGAACACCCGGAGAGAGUCCCGCAUCGGGCUCCCCGUGGAGAGCCUGCUUCUCUCUGUGUCUCUCAUGAAUAAAUAAAAA